rnacentral:rRNA from 1 species
UACGGGGGGGGUAAGCGUUGUUCGGAAUUACUGGGCGUAAAGGGCUCGUAGGCGGCCAACUAAGUCAGACGUGAAAUCCCUCGGCUUAACCGGGGAACUGCGUCUGAUACUGGAUGGCUUGAAUCCGGGAGAGGGAUGCGGAAUUCCAGGUGUAGCGGUGGAAUGCGCAGAUAUCAGGAGGAACACCGGUGGCGAAGGCGGGUCUCUGGGCAGUAACUGACGCUGAGGAGCGAAAGCGUGGGGAGCGAACAGG